ACCAGGCUCUGCUGCCACCGAGUCCCUAGCCCCAACUCAACAAACCUGAAAGCCUUCACAGCAGUGAGCUGCAAUGUUGGAGGGCUUCAUCUCGGGCUGCAAGGACCCUGGGAAAGUUCCAGAACUCCACGUCCUUGUCUCAAUUGUGCCAUCAACUUUCAGAGCUAUCAUGAGCCAACCUCACCCCACAGGGCCUCAGUCGCCACCAUGUGGGCCUCUCCAGUGCAAACCACCGAGCAUUCCACCAUGACCGGUCACAGCUACAAAUCCAGAGACCAUCAAUCCUGCUAGGGUGCAGGGUGGCAAGCACCCAAGGGUGGCUGACCAAGACUGCAGAGUCUCCUCCAUCUUCAGAUCCAUUCAGCCUCCUGGCAUUUAACUACCAGCAUCCAGUGGUCCCCAAGGAAUCCCUUCCUAGCCUCCUGACAUGAGUCUGCUGAAAGAGCAUCCAAACAAACAAGUAAUAAAUAAACAAAUAAACUCAA
rnacentral:sRNA from 1 species